CGCAACGAUGCACUCGAUUGAUGGCUCAGUGAGGCCUUCGGACUGGCUCGGAGAGGUUGGCAACGACCACUCCGAGCCGGAAAGUUCGUCAAACUCGGUCAUUUAGAGGAAGUAAAAGUCGUAACAAGGUUUCCGUAGGUGAACCUGCGGAAGGAUCAUUA
rnacentral:rRNA from 1 species